rfam:Oryza glumipatula chromosome 12, whole genome shotgun sequence.
AGUAAAUUGAUUUGUGGUUUUCGUGUCCAACUUUUGACCAUCCGUCUUAUAUGAAACUUUUUUAUGAUUAGUAUUUUUCUUUUUAUUAGAUGAUAAAAUAUGAAUAAUAGUUUAUACGUGAAUUAUCUUUUUGAAUCUUUCCAUAAUUUUUUGAAAUAAACCGGACGGUCCAAGGUUAUAUACGGAAACCCACGAAUCAACUUAUU